rnacentral:rRNA from 1 species
UACGUAGGGUGCGAGCGUUGUCCGGAAUUAUUGGGCGUAAAGAGCUCGUAGGCGGUGUGUCGCGUCGGCCGUGAAAACCUGGGGCUUAACUCUGGGCGUGCGGUCGAUACGGGCAUCACUAGAGUUCGGCAGGGGAGACUGGAAUUCCUGGUGUAGCGGUGAAAUGCGCAGAUAUCAGGAGGGAACACCGGUGGCGAAGGCGGGUCUCUGGGCCGAUA